GUAGGUGGCAAGCGUUGUCCGGAAUUAUUGGGCGUAAAGCGCGCGCAGGCGGAUUGGUCAGUCUGUCUUAAAAGUUCGGGGCUUAACCCCGUGAUGGGAUGGAAACUGCCAAUCUAGAGUAUCGGAGAGGAAAGUGGAAUUCCUAGUGUAGCGGUGAAAUGCGUAGAUAUUAGGAAGAACACCAGUGGCGAAGGCGACUUUCUGGACGAAAACUGACGCUGAGGCGCGAAAGCCAGGGGAGCGAACGGGAUUAGAUACCCCGGUAGUCCUGGCCGUAAACGAUGGGUACUAGGUGUAGGAGGUAUCGACCCCUUCUGUGCCGGAGUUAACGCAAUAAGUACCCCGCCUGGGGAGUACGACCGCAAGGUUGAAACUCAAAGGAAUUGACGGGGGCCCGCACAAGCGGUGGAGUAUGUGGUUUAAUUCGACGCAACGCGAAGAACCUUACCAGGUCUUGACAU
rnacentral:rRNA from 1 species